CGAGUGCGGUCGAUCCGGACGAGCCGUAGCGCCACGCCGCCUUAUCCGCCCUCUGCCUGUUCUAUGCGCCCGCCCACCGUCACCUCCGCCUUGCCUCAGCUUCGAGUUUCCCGCGCCACCGCUUCGCUGGAACUUCUUCCCAGCCGCGGCAGCCUCCUUAGCUCUGGCCGCCGGACGAUCGAGGAGCAGUUCUUCUCUGCCAGGGUUCGGCCCGCGAUGGUCUCUUCCGCCGGCGAGGCCCGUCUCUCGACCUUAGAGGAAUGUGUUGGAGUUGGCUUUUCUGUAUUCAGUUUGUGAGUGCAUCGGUGUGUUGGUUGCUUCUCCCUUCAAGGCUGUGUUCGGCUGGUGCUGGGCGCCUCUGCUGGCGGGGCGCACAGAAGCUGUUCGAUGAAUUAUCGGUCGUGCGUAUGCCUGUUUUCUUAAUCUGCAGAGCUCUUGGAAUUCGUUCUAACGUUGGAUUUUGUUGAGGCCAGCUCCCGGGAAUGAGUUCUAGAGCUCGAAAAUGUGAUUUUUUGCUGGUUAAUUGCUUCUCUCACAGGAAAUGAGGGCAUCCUAACAGUGGAUAUUCGUGUGGACUUCGGAAUUGGGUCAUCGUACGCAUGCUUAUUUGUCGUUUUGCAAAAUUGAACAGUGAAUUAUUUGUAUGCAUCAGCAACCAGAACAACCAGGCUUGCCAUAAGAAGCAUGGUAUUCUUACAAACAAAACUAGUGGGAUGGUUUACAUGUUUGUUACAGAGAGUUUAUGGUUUAUCUUCAGAUCUUGAGCGAUGCCAAAUUCACUGCUAAGCAAUUCGCAGAGCUGUUGGAUCUCAUCUUCUGAUCAAGGUUGCUAGUUCUAACAGCCCAAAAUUGGCAGCUGAGGAAUCUAACCUGACUGUGCUUGUUUUGAGCAUAUUGUUCAGUAUUUUGCUGCAUUUUGCUAAGAAGCGAAAGGUCUGCUCUAGUGGGUUGUUAAUCUUUGAAGUGGCUAAUUCCAAGGGAGUGACACUUGAUGUGGCAAUUAGAUGCAGUUAUUCAAUGCAUGAAGUUGAUAUGAAGCAUGCAAAAACGAAUGAGCUCAUAAAUGAACAUACGAAGAUAGAGGAUUACCUGCAUGUAAACCAUGGGGGAGAACUGCAAGUCUGGACCAAGCACCUUAUCUGGUACGAGGAGCCUCCAACGCGACGACGACGACGACUCCACGUCCAGCCACUCACCCAGCGUCCUUGUACACCUAGCUUCGAUGAUCCUCAGCCCACAGUCAUUGCACUUGAUCAGUGGACGUCCACUCUCCGCCCUCCGAAUUCGUCCAGCCAUGGGAUAGCAGAUGUUGAGCCACAAGAACAUGGGAUUUUUUAGGUCGGCAAUGGUGAUACCAUCAGUGAUCUCACUUUGAUUGAAGUAGUACACAGCCCUCAGGUAGUGCAGCUUCAUGAUGAGGUCCAUAUUGGUGAGUUCAUGCAGGACAGCAUUGCCGGUCACCGUCGCAGGCACCACAGUCGAUAUCCUGUGAUCGUAGAUGGCAGUCUUUUCCUGUUCAACACCCAUGACCUGGUCUUAGAGGAGACUAGAGAAAGCUGAGGAGGAGAAAGAGACUAGAAGUUUGUAGGUCACACAUUUUUGGAGACUUGGCUCGGCAUACGAUAUAUAGAGAAGGAUCGGAGGUAGGAAGCUGGGGUGGUGUGGGAGGUGAGCAACUAUUGUGACGGCAUUUUAAAUGGCUGCAUUGGUUGAUGGGGCCCUGAAAAUGAACAUAAAGAUCGGGAAGCAUGAUCAGUUGGUUGGCACUAAAUUAAUUGGCGGUGACAAGAUUACCACAUCGCGGUGCAAAGUACUCCCAGUGACAUGCAAACUUCUUCAGAUAUAAGAGAUGGGGGCUUCCUAAUGUUAUUCCUUGAGGCAACUGAGAUGACAGUGAAAUAACAGUGUUGCUCGAACCCUCAAAUGGACGGAAAUGGAGGAAUGCAAGGUGGAUAAACAAGGAGUGGAAUAACAGUGUUCUUCUGGUCAGAUCGAGUGUGGUGGAUCUUAAGAUUUGAGCUCCAUUUCCUAAAUAUAGACAAACCUGGUUACAAAUUUGAAGUUGCUACAGUUUCUGAGAUAUGGAGAUGGGAGUUUGAUCAGAAGAGAAAGUUGUAUGUAACAUUGGAGUUCCGAGUUUCUCACGGUGAAUGAAGACGGAGGUUCUCACGUGAAGUGCUUAGUGCUUAAUCAUUAGCCCACCAUUAAUGCAGUCCCUACUCACCUGCCUAUGCUGCUGUUCUAUGGUCCUUUCAUGCCCAGUCCUUAACCCCCUUGCUCCAUUCUUUGAUCAAAGUGUUCAUGGCUUCACUGUUGCUUUUAAUCCUGUAUCAUAUGUGGGAGGACAGUUGAGUUGGUUUACAAGAUCAGAGGCAGUAAGCAAUCAUUAAUCUGAGCAUAAAUAUUUUGGAUUAGUACCAUGAUUGGAUUGGAUUUCUACCAAAUAAAAUAAAUUGGAGCGCACGUAGACGUCCCAAUUUGUCUUUGAACCCAAAUCAGUAAUGACCAAAGCAAAAAGAAUGUAUCAAGAAAAGCCUUCUGAUGCAGGUCCUGAGUGGUUGCAGCUGUUAUGAAUGAGGAUGGUGACGGAGUCCAUUGUUGCUUGCUUGAUUAAGCGAGUAUGUCGUAGAUCUAAUCAUUGAAAACUAUGCAUGUUUAGGUGAGGCCUUCAAUAAUUGUGGUCUCCUUUAGGCUGUCAAGGAAGGUGGUUAACUGACUUAACUGGACAACCUCUUCUUUGAGCUCAUCAUUUUUUCUCUGCCUGACUUGGAACUAUUAGGGUGGAAACUUGAAGGGCUGGAGAAAGUGAGGUGAUGUCUUUUCCUUGACAUGAAGAGCUGUUUCAAGGAUAAGACAAGAGACAUGUCACUGAUGCUGAUGUGACUGCUUAUUUUUAAUAAGUAUGAUGUGCAGUGUAGCUCACCAGAAGAUAACAACAUUGUUGCUUGUAUUAUUAAUUAAAGCAGCCACUGGAGUGGUUGAGACUAUGUUAUGUAGAGGACAUUCAAGAACAUGCAACAGUUGCUGUCACCUUAUUUGGAUGUGCAAUGAAUGAUGCUUGGUGAAGUUAAAACAUUUA